UGGGUUGUGGCUCAGUGGCAGAGCGCUCACCUAGCACAUGUGAGGCACUGGGUUCUAUCCUCAGCACCACAU
rnacentral:tRNA from 1 species